UAAUAAAUUAAUUAAUCAGCCAGCAGGAAGUGAUGUAAUAUCAAGGGAGCUAUAAAGGGAUGCCCCUAUAUUGCCUCUCAUUCUGUAGUUGGUAUUCAAUGAGGUUGCACUUGUUCCUGUAAAAAGGAAUAGUUUCGUUCAGGAUUUGAAAUUUUCCUAAGUUCUCUGUUUGGUGACAUGUAUAAACAGAGGUAGACUAUAAGGUUCCACCAUUCUUGAUUGAAAAUAGGGAACGUAACAUCAUCUAAUUUCAACCAAAUUUAUAUAUAUUUUUUUGAAGUCUAUCUAGAUAUUAUAUUUAUCGAAUUGAAUAUGUGAUUGGAUGUAAUCAUUGGAUAUUCUAAACCUUUCUAAUCAAUGGUAAUCACUCCUACUAUAA